AUGAACGCUAGCUACAGGCUUAACACAUGCAAGUCGAGGGGCAGCAUGGUCUUAGCUUGCUAAGGCCGAUGGCGACCGGCGCACGGGUGAGUAACACGUAUCCAACCUGCCGUCUACUCUUGGACAGCCUUCUGAAAGGAAGAUUAAUACAAGAUGGCAUCAUGAGUCCGCAUGUUCACAUGAUUAAAGGUAUUCCGGUAGACGAUGGGGAUGCGUUCCAUUAGAUAGUAGGCGGGGUAACGGCCCACCUAGUCUUCGAUGGAUAGGGGUUCUGAGAGGAAGGUCCCCCACAUUGGAACUGAGACACGGUCCAAACUCCUACGGGAGGCAGCAGUGAGGAAUAUUGGUCAAUGGGCGAGAGCCUGAACCAGCCAAGUAGCGUGAAGGAUGACUGCCCUAUGGGUUGUAAACUUCUUUUAUAAAGGAAUAAAGUCGGGUAUGCAUACCCGUUUGCAUGUACUUUAUGAAUAAGGAUCGGCUAACUCCGUGCCAGCAGCCGCGGUAAUACGGAGGAUCCGAGCGUUAUCCGGAUUUAUUGGGUUUAAAGGGAGCGUAGAUGGAUGUUUAAGUCAGUUGUGAAAGUUUGCGGCUCAACCGUAAAAUUGCAGUUGAUACUGGAUAUCUUGAGUGCAGUUGAGGCAGGCGGAAUUCGUGGUGUAGCGGUGAAAUGCUUAGAUAUCACGAAGAACUCCGAUUGCGAAGGCAGCCUGCUAAGCUGCAACUGACAUUGAGGCUCGAAAGUGUGGGUAUCAAACAGGAUUAGAUACCCUGGUAGUCCACACGGUAAACGAUGAAUACUCGCUGUUUGCGAUAUACGGCAAGCGGCCAAGCGAAAGCGUUAAGUACUCCACCUGGGGAGUACGCCGGCAACGGUGAAACUCAAAGGAAUUGACGGGGGCCCGCACAAGCGGAGGAACAUGUGGUUUAAUUCGAUGAUACGCGAGGAACCUUACCCGGGCUUAAAUUGCAGAUGAAUUACGGUGAAAGCCGUAAGCCGCAAGGCAUCUGUGAAGGUGCUGCAUGGUUGUCGUCAGCUCGUGCCGUGAGGUGUCGGCUUAAGUGCCAUAACGAGCGCAACCCUUGUUGUCAGUUACUAACAGGUUCCGCUGAGGACUCUGACAAGACUGCCAUCGUAAGAUGUGAGGAAGGUGGGGAUGACGUCAAAUCAGCACGGCCCUUACGUCCGGGGCUACACACGUGUUACAAUGGGGGGUACAGAGGGCCGCUACCACGCGAGUGGAUGCCAAUCCCCAAAACCUCUCUCAGUUCGGACUGGAGUCUGCAACCCGACUCCACGAAGCUGGAUUCGCUAGUAAUCGCGCAUCAGCCACGGCGCGGUGAAUACGUUCCCGGGCCUUGUACACACCGCCCGUCAAGCCAUGGGAGCCGGGGGUACCUGAAGUGCGUAACCGCGAGGAGCGCCCUAGGGUAAAACUGGUGACUGGG
rnacentral:rRNA from 1 species